rnacentral:lncRNA from 1 species
CAGCCCUGAGGAGGAGGUGUCCCCACAGCAAGCUUGAGGACAGAUGAGACUGUGGGCCCUUGCUAACAAGCCCUUGGAUGAGCGAGAAGACAGGAGGGGGAAGGAGAGAUUGAUAAAUGGAGAGGCCAUCAAAGAGGACAGCUAUUUGCCAUGCAAAAGGGUGUUCAUGAAAAUACUCCAGCUCCUCUACCAUCGCCAUUAUUUCAUAAGAGUAAGGCCACAUGGUGGGGACAACUUUUGAGACCUGUCCUAGAGUGUGAGCUCUAGUAGGGUGCCUGGCAGCCUGUGAGAACACAGCUCUAGCUGCUGCGGUUUCCCUGGAACCAGAACCCUACGGAUGCCGUUGAGAUGCUGGCUGAGCCGUUCUUCCACCGCCUGCCUCGGUUCCACGUCGCUGAGUCCCACCUCCUGGGAGCCGUGGAUGCUGAGAAUAUCAUCAGGAGACCCUCAGCAUUGUGCUGAGUUUAGAUUCACCAGGGACCUUCUCAGCUGGUAAAUCCCACUUGGAUUGGGAGCCUCAGAUUGAGAGCGCCCCAGGGCAGGGCCCGUUGGGUCUGACUCGGCUCCCCCAGCCCCGAUGCUGGUCUGUUUUGGAGGAGGGCUCUGAACUCCACUUGACAACCAGGGGGCAGGGAAGGAGUCGCCUGGAGUCUGUGAUGAGGUUCUCAGCUGAGGCUCUCAACCCACGGUCCCAACACUUCCCCCCGCCCCCCAGCCUCUUCCUACAAUUUGACACAGUUGUCAACAUCCCUUUUUUAUAAGGAAUAUUUUGUAAACACCCCUUUACUCUUCUGAAAUGAAAUGUAUACAUAACAGAACUGACCUGUGUUACCUAUAUAAAAGAAAAGUUACUUAUAACAAAGUAAGUUAAAAUAAUAGGCUUUUAAAUAUAUAAAUACACUGUCCAACCACACUAGCAGAAUCAAUGAAAUAGAUGCUGGCACUUAUGUGUGGAAUCGUCAUAAAUGUAUGUGUGGUUUUGUGAUGUGAUGUUUUGC